AGCGCUCGUGAGACCCUGAAAGGCGGCACUUUGCAAAAUGUCUAAACUUGACCCAGAGAUCCCUUAGCUACAAACAGAUAUCGUUGUGUUUUUUUAACCCACGACGACUGAAGGAACAAAAGGAUAGAUUUUGUUGCGGAUAUACUUUCUCACGCCACUUUUCAAGACGGACCUUUGACGAAAAGCUGAAUAUAGCGAGAAGAGGUAGCCAACCACCGUGCUAGCAGCCUCUCCUAGCGCUGAAAACGCUUGUCGGGGACGUCUGACUCCGGAGCACACAGUGGUACUGCUUGUUUUGUGCCUCUAUGCUGUGGAGACGCAUCACUGCCGUCUGAUUUCCUUUCUUUCCCGUUGCCUCCUGCUGAAGUUUGGCCAGUAGCAGCUGAGACCGAGUCUUUAAAGCACAGCCACCUUCCUCUUCUGCCAGAUUCCUGUGGUCAAUGUGAUGCAGGUGCACUGGCAAGCUGUCAAGCUGUGUGGAUUGUGUAAUACCAGGACGUUCAACUAGUCACUGGCAAAAUGGGCACGCCACACUGGACCAAUGAGCCAUCACAGCUAAACGCCCAACUGGAGCUUAGUGGCCAGUUUUCUUCCUCAUCCUUGUGAAACCAUCACUGUGAGUUUCACUAUAGCCGUUUGCCAGUUUCCAUGCAAAAUUGAUGAUGUGUUGUGGAAAAAGAUGAAUAUUCAGAGAUUUUAAUAUGCAUAAUGUCUUGGAUGCAAAGAAGAGCAGCAGCUAGAUGGACACUGAGUGGAAAUGAGGAUGAGUGCGUGAUGAACUAAGGGGGGGUUUCCAGUGGGGGUAUUUUAGGAAGCAGCUGCACAUCAGCGUCUCCAAAGGUAUGAGUAUAGUUUCACACAUGGUUCUGUUGGUUCCUUCCAAACUUGGUUAGGAUUCUAAUGUCAGUGGCACAUAUGAAUAUCUUUUACAUUGUAACAGCAACACAAUAAUAGUGUCCAUUUGUUCUCUGCUGCACCACUGUAAUACUUUAUAGUAUAAUCUGUUCAGCAGCACUACACCAAAGAGAGGUGAAACCAGCAAUUACGUACACUACACUAAACAAUGUGUUGCACAAAAAAACAAACAAGAAUGCAGCUUUUAGACGUAGGAGGUAUUUAUUUCCCUAACAGGCAGUUAGGUCCACAACUGAGCAAUAGCAGACACUCGACUUUAGAACAUUUACACAUUUAGCUGCUUAACAAAAGAUCCAUACUGUAUUAUGUCCUACAUAUAUAUGACUUCUCACUGCUUAAUUCUGUGUGAUGCUUUGUUUUAUAUACAGACUAAAACAAGAGGAGCUUGAGAGUAGAUGACAACUGUGUUCCACUGCUUUAAGGGAAACGAAGCAUCUUCACAUUCAAACCAUAUAAAUUCAGUUGCUCCUGACUAAAUAUAAAUAAUAAAGAGUAACGAGACCAGCCGGUGAGCUAAACGUAAACUAUGUUACAGCAAGACAGCUCAUCCUUGUUUCUGUCAGCUGCAUAUUUUAAAUAACAUUAAAUUCAGCUCAUUGUUUACUUAGUAUUUCAGACCAAUUUGGCAAAAUAAGAGCAUGUAUAUAAUAUAUGCCCACACAAGUACUUUAGUGGGCUUAAGCACAUCACAGUCAUUGUGUAAUAGCUGAAGGAAGGAAUAAAAUGUUCUGUUUCUGCAAAUGUAUCAUGCUACUGGACAAUCUGGCAGGAAAAGCGCCCCUGCAGGGGGCAAAGGUCACUAUUGGUUCCUGCCUGACUGCUGAAA